CCCCUAGAUGUUCUGGGCCGCACGCGCGCUACACUGAACAGUUCAACAAGUCUUAACCUUGGCCGAUAGGUCUGGGUAAUCUUUGAACGCUGUUCGUGAUUGGGAUAGACCUUUGCAAUUAUGGGUCUUCAACGAGGAAUUCCUAGUAAACGCAAGUCAUCAGCUUGCAUUGAUUACGUCCCUGCCCUUUGUACACACCGCCCGUCGCUCCUACCGAUUGAAUGCUCAGGUGAGCCAUUCGGACUGUGAUCAUGUCGGUUUCCGAUUUUGAUUAUGGAAAGUCUUGCGAACCUUAUCAUUUAGAGGAAGGAGAAGUCGUAACA
rnacentral:rRNA from 1 species